UACAUUUUGUUGUAUGAUGCAUACAAGUUUUUGAUACUUGUGGUGAUAGUUUAAUUCUAUCAAAUGUAA
rnacentral:tRNA from 1 species